rnacentral:lncRNA from 1 species
UAUUUAUACAGAGAGAAAGAGUUCGGCUACUGUACUAUCAAUAGAACUAAGCUUUUGAUACUAUUGAAUUUUUUAUUGUUAAAUCUAUACUUUGAUCAUUUUUACCCGUUAAAUCAUAUUCAACCAACCACCUACUCAAACUUAGAGGACUACUAUCAUCCUAACUACACAUUCUUCCAUCUAACAAUUAAAAACUCAAUACCGACCGUCCCUAGAACAAGUGGCAAAAGGCUUGGUGAUUGGUACCUGAGACCUAAGUUUAAAUCCUAGUUAAUUCACAUUUCUAGCUAAGUUUAUUUCUAAAUAAAAUAAACGAAGCAGAUAGCGUGCUACCUAUCUCUCUCUUAAAAAAAAAAAAGUUAAAAACUAAAUAGUACCAAAUUCUUAAUACUAUUGAUAGUAUACUAGCAUAUAUACAUAGAGUCCGGUUGAAAUAUUCAUUUGGUUCUAUCAAAUUUUCCGCCGUUAAAUUUAACUAUUUGACUAUUUUUACCUAUUAGAUUAUAUUAUUAAACCAAUAACUCAUUCAAUCCUAAAUGCCCAUAUUAUUCUAACUGUAUAUUUUUUUUAUCCCAGAGCUGAAGACAUAAUAGCACCAAUAGCUUGUUAUUUUCUAAAAGAUGCCCCAAGUU